rnacentral:ncRNA from 2 species
UAUAAAUAUUUUUUCCGAACUUAAGGGCCUAAAGUAUAAUUCCAUGGUUCUAAAGUCAUUGGGUACGUUAGGAAACUAGCAUGCCUCCCAUUGUGGAAAGGAGAAGCCAUACCAAAGGA